ACCAUCUCCUUUGCAAGCAAAAGAUUCAGUUACAUCCCACCUGUUUACGAGGCACGGAUACUGCUUGCUGCAUUGGUGUCAUGUUGUGGUGAAGAUAUCUAACCCACGACAUACAGAAUCAGAUCAGAGACGGGGUGAAAUGUUUAAACAAGGAUUUAUUAAAGGAAAACCAAGGAAGCAGCAUAAACGUAGCUGAGUUCUUGCACAAGGACGCUGGUGCGGGAAAUCUGUGGACAGAUCGGAGUUAGAUCCAAUAUGAGGAGGGAAUAAGGAACCGGACUAGUGCGGAGGACUUACGGUCUGGAGAGGAGGGAACUAGUUUGAGGGGGGAGUGGUCCGGUCUGGGUUGAGAGGCUUUGCAGGGACUGAGAUCCAAGAAGUGAGACGUGGAGGGAGCUGAGCUUGUGGAGGUCCAGGAAGUUUAGGUGGGCAGCUGGAGGUGGUUCUGGCCAGGGGAGAGGCUGAGAGACGAGCAGGGGUUGGAGUUCAAGGUGGUUUGGGCUCCAGAGUUCUGCCAGUCUAAGAUGAGUGUGAAGGUUUGUCUGGAGACAAGAGCAGGAGGUCAAAAGGCAAAAAUCCAAUAUCCAAAACUCAUUUAAUUCUUAAAAUCCAAAUUCCAAAAACACAUCUAAUUCUCAAAAGGUUAAAGAGCUCGAAUAAGACAUACAAGUGGCUGUUAGAAGGUACCCAGGUAGAGUAAUCAUCCAGCGAAGUGUAGAAGUCUCUCAGCUGCUUAAGUACCCUUGGCCAGCUGAUGAGCAGAUCUGCUGCAGCUUGGUCAACCUCCAGACACGCCCACCUGCAGAGGGAAAACUCAAAGACAGGGAGUGACAGCAGGAAUACACCUCAGACCGUGACAAUUGGACUACAAUCACCACUCACAUCGAGAAGUGAAGAGGAGAGCAGAUGGAUCGAUACAAUACCAUAAAAUAUUCAACAAAAAAUCAAGAUGCUGGAGGCUGUAUUCUGAGAAGGUGGUAAAAGACUACUCCUACAUCCCAGAGAUCCAAACCAUGAUCGUCAGCCAACGUUUGACAAGCAAGAAAGGUCUUCCUCGACGCUACAAGCUAAGGCCUGAGGAUCCAAGGAGUUACGGUUUGCUGUCCGGAGUCCCUGCACCAUCAACAGAGGAACUUCUACAACACCUAAGGACUUGAGGUGAUGGUAUAAUAAAACAUUAUCUGUCUUACAUCUUCCACACAAUAGUCCAUUGCUAACUAAGUUUAUUUUUUAUUUACAGGUAAAACUUUGCCACAGACAUAGGUGUUGGGGGAGGCAAGAGAAAACCCAAAACCUUCUUUAUUUUUGUUUCCUGUGUUUUUUUUUUGUUUGAAAAUAAAGAUAUACUUUGGGGAAAUGAGGACUAAUAAUUUAUAAAUGUAUGUAAAAUGCUGGAGGUAGACAUAAGUUCUUGUUGUUGUGCAGGAGUUUAACAUUUAUGGUAUUUUUACAAAUGCAACACAGAGUUGUGCUUUAGAACACUUUAUUAGAGCAUCAAACAAAAAUAUAUAAAAACAAACUGAUGUAAAAUAUUAAAUAUAUAAAUUUAUUUACAAUCAUCUUGGAAUAAAACCAGUGUAGUUAC